GCAACAGCAGAGAACCUGCUAGAGGGCAGCAUCGUCUAAGGCAGCUACGAAGCAGCUAACCGCCUCUACUGUGGCUGUUCUGGCAGGUAACCACCAUGACUCGUCAGCAACAACCAGCUUCUCCAGGUGCAGACAUCUUCAUCAUUUAUAUUGGCAGAGCAGAAAGACCUAAGAUGAGUAGAGGGAUUUUGGUGUGAGAGUAUGGAUGCAGUGCAGAGAAAGGAAAGCCACAACAAUUACAGUUGCAUCACACUUGUACAACAGGUGUGAAGCUGGUCCUUGAAAUGCGAGUCAUUAGUUGUUUGUAAUAGCACAAUCCUAAACCUAAAUGGAACUGCUGAAUUCUGGAACAGCAUAGCUUGAUCCUGCUAAAAUCCAUUGAGCAGGUGAAAUCAGUACAGAAGGCUACAAAUAAUGUUAUAUUACAAAUAAGUUCUAUCCUGGCACUGAGAAACCAUAUGGAGGAAAGUUUCAUCAAAACAGAUACGUUUUCACAAAAAGUUUCAGUUUCAACAAAUCGGCAUUUUCUGAGGAAAAACAUUUCAAGGGUUCAACAAGAAAAAAGAUCAGUGGAAGAGAAAUUCAUGGAGACUCUCAACAACAGAAAUCAAGUGAGAGGGAGGACUCCCCACCAUGGGCUGAAAUGGAGAUUCUUUAGUCAAAACAGGGGCCUGCCCUGAUGCAUCCACCUUAAGUCUCUGAAAAUCUCUAAUGAGCAAGCAAGCAGGGCACAUUUCUUAGAUUGGGAGUAAGGUUGGGAGCUGAGUGUAGAGAGAAGGAGAGAGACAAAGAAGAGGUGAAGCCCUGAAUACAAAGGAGGACAGAUAUGUAUGGGGCACUACAUACAGAAAGAGAAAAAAUGAACCUAAAAACAAAACAAAAAGAUACUUAGAAAACAUGUUCUCUUCAUUCUGAUGAACUAUCCUUGAAAACCUAAUGUUUAAAUCCUACAGUUUCUUACGUGCUUCAUACAACAGGUCUAUGCUGUCCCUAAGCAUAUAAAACCUUUCUUAUAGCCACUAAA